GAUAGGACGAGAGGAAAUGGCCUCAAGCUGCGCCAGGGGAAGGGGGUUUAGAUUGGAGAUUAGGAAAAAUUUCUUCACCAAAAGGGUUGUCAGGCACUGGAACAGGCUGCCCAGGGAGGUGGUUGGGUCACCAUCCCUGGAGGUAUUUAAAGGCCUUUAGAUGUGGUGCUUGAGGAUAUGGUUUAGCGGUGGACUUGGCGGUGUUAAGUUUACAGUUGGACUUGAUCUUAAAGGUCUUUCCAACCUAAAUGAUUCUAUGAUUAUUUCUUUUCAAGGCCAAGGUACAUUGGUGAAAAGCAUAUGAUCAACUUGGUUGAAUGCCAGAACUGCCUUUUGUUUAAACAAUAUUCCAUUUAUUUGUCACACUUCACUUGUGCUCCCUUCCCCUUUCUGCAGCUUUGCCAGAAUUUUUU